AGAGUUUGAUCAUGGCUCAGAAUCAACGCUGGCGGCGCGCUUAACACAUGCAAGUCGCACGAGAAAGUGGAGCAAUCCAUGAGUACAGUGGCGUACGGGUGAGUAACACGUGGAUCAUCUACCUUUUAGUGGGGAAUACCUCCUGGAAACGGGAGACAAUACCGCAUAAUCUCGCGAGAGGAAAGCAGCAAUGCGCUGAAAGAGGAGUCCGCGGCCGAUUAGCUAGUUGGCGGGGUAACGGCCCACCAAGGCGAAGAUCGGUAGCCGGCCUGAGAGGGCUCACGGCCACACUGGCACUGAAACAUGGGCCAGACUCCUACGGGAGGCAGCAGUGGGGAAUCUUGCACAAUGGAGGAAACUCUGAUGCAGCGACGCCGCGUGAGCGAUGAAGCCCUUCGGGGUGUAAAGCUCUUUCGACGGGAACGAUAAUGACGGUACCCGAAGAAGAAGCUGCGGCUAACUACGUGCCAGCAGCCGCGGUAAUACGUAGGCAGCAAGCGUUGUUCGGAAUUACUGGGCGUAAAGAGUGUGUAGGCGGUGCUCUAAGUCUGUCGUGAAAUCUCCCGGCUUAACUGGGAGGGUGCGGCGGAAACUGGAGUGCUCGAGGGUGGGAGAGGAAAGCGGAAUUCCUGGUGUAGCGGUGAAAUGCGUAGAUAUCAGGAGGAACACCUGCGGUGUAGACAGCUUUCUGGACCACUUCUGACGCUGAGACACGAAAGCGUGGGUAGCAAACAGGAUUAGAUACCCUAGUAGUCC
rnacentral:rRNA from 1 species